rnacentral:rRNA from 1 species
GAUGAACGCUAACGGCAGGCCUAAUACAUGCAAGUCGAGCGGCAAGUCGAGGAGUAAUCUGAGACCUAGAGCGGCGUACGGGUGCGUAACGCGUAUGCAACCUACCUCAUACAGGGGGAUAGCCCGGAGAAAUCUGGAUUAAUACCCCAUAGCACAGCACAAGGGCAUCUGCGAGCUGUUAAAGAUUCAUCGGUAUGAGAUGGGCAUGCGUCUGAUUAGCUAGUUGGCGGUGUAACGGACCACCAAGGCGACGAUCAGUAGGGUUUCUGAGAGGAAGGUCCCCCACACUGGCACUGAGAUACGGGCCAGACUCCUACGGGAGGCAGCAGUAGGGAAUAUUGGGCAAUGGACGAGAGUCUGACCCAGCCAUGCCGCGUGCAGGAAGAAGGCCUUCUGGGUUGUAAACUGCUUUUAUCUGGGAAGAAAAGGCCCAUGCGUGGGACAUUGCCGGUACCAGAUGAAUAGGCACCGGCUAACUCCGUGCCAGCCGCCGCGGUAACAC